AUGAGGUCUUUACCAACAGGCAACAUUUCCGAGAUGUCAGUGAACGCGGCAUGACGUCGCCUGUGGUGGCACACAUUAGCAACCGGAGUGGCAGCGGACAGAGGAGAGGGGUUCCCCUGGAUUUUCUGUUUUUUUUUUUUUUUUUUUUUUUUUUUUUUUUUUAAAUAAACGGAGAAGCCAGCAAAAUAGCAGUAUCAAAACCCCUGGGAACAACGGGGGAACUCGGUCGAGCACCCGCUAGACUCCGCCUUCUUAGUCUGAGGGGAAACGAGGAACAUCCAAAGCAGGCUUCGUGGCCCAAUGGUUAAGAUCAUCGCCUGCCACCAUGGGGGACCGAGGUUCAAAACCCCGACUGGACCAUCCGCCAACAUCCCCCGGACUCACGGCUGUGGUGUCCUUGAGCAAGACACUGAUACCCCGAAAUGCUCCCCGGGCGCUUCAGCUGCCCCCUGCUCCAGUGUGUUCCACUAACAUGUGUAUGUGUUCACUGUGAUGGGUUAAAUGCAGAGAACAAAUUUCGUGUGCAUGCAUGCAUGUUCAUGACAAUAAAAGAUGAUUCUUA